rnacentral:rRNA from 1 species
CUCAGAAUAGUUUGACCUCGGAUCAGGUAGGGUUACCCGCUGAACUUAAGCAUAUCAAUAAGCGGAGGAAAAGAAACCAACAGGGAUUGCCCUAGUAACGGCGAGUGAAGCGGCAACAGCUCAAAUUUGAAAUCUGGUCCCUUGGGGCCCGAGUUGUAAUUUGCAGAGGAUGCUUUUGGCGCGGUGCCUUCCGAGUGCCCUGGAACGGGACGCCACAGAGGGUGAGAGCCCCGUAUGGUUGGACACCAAGCCUAUGUAAAGCUCCUUCGACGAGUCGAGUAGUUUGGGAAUGCUGCUCAAAAUGGGAGGUAAACCCCUUCUAAAGCUAAAUACUGGCCAGAGACCGAUAGCGCACAAGUAGAGUGAUCGAAAGAUGAAAAGCACUUUGAAAAGAGAGUUAAAAAGCACGUGAAAUUGUUGAAAGGGAAGCGUUUGCGACCAGACUUGCGCCCGUCGAAUCAACCGUCCCUCGUGGGCGGUGCACUUCGGCGGGCUCAGGCCAGCAUCAGUUUACUGUAGGGGGAGAAAGGCGCUGGGAAUGUGGCUCUUCGGAGUGUUAUAGCCCGGCGCGUAAUACCCCUCGGUGGACUGAGGACCGCGCGUAUGCAAGGAUGCUGGCGUAAUGGUCGUCAGCGACCCGUCUUGAAACACGGACCAAGGAGUCGUCCUAAUAUGCGAGUGUUUGGGUGUCAAACCCCAGCGCGUAAUUAAAGUGAACGGAGGUGAGAGCUUCGGCGCAUCAUCGACCGAUCCUGAUGUUCUCGGAUGGAUUUGAGUAAGAGCAUAUUGGGCCGGACCCGAAAGAAGGUGAACUAUGCCUGUAUAGGGUGAAGCCAGAGGAAACUCUGGUGGAGGCUCGCAGCGGUUCUGACGUGCAAAUCGAUCGUCAAAUAUGGGCAUGGGGGCGAAAGACUAAUCGAACCUUCUAGUAGCUGGUU